rnacentral:rRNA from 1 species
AACGCUAGCUACAGGCUUAACACAUGCAAGUUGAGGGGCAGCAUGGUCUUAGCUUGCUAAGGCCGAUGGCGACCGGCGCACGGGUGAGUAACACGUAUCCAACCUGCCGUCUACUCUUGGACAGCCUUCUGAAAGGAAGAUUAAUACAAGAUGGCAUCAUGAGUCCGCAUGUUCACAUGAUUAAAGGUAUUCCGGUAGACGAUGGGGAUGCGUUCCAUUAGAUAGUAGGCGGGGUAACGGCCCACCUAGUCUUCGAUGGAUAGGGGUUCUGAGAGGAAGGUCCCCCACAUUGGAACUGAGACACGGUCCAAACUCCUACGGGAGGCAGCAGUGAGGAAUAUUGGUCAAUGGGCGAGAGCCUGAACCAGCCAAGUAGCGUGAAGGAUGACUGCCCUAUGGGUUGUAAACUUCUUUUAUAAAGGAAUAAAGUCGGGUAUGUAUACCCGUUUGCAUGUACUUUAUGAAUAAGGAUCGGCUAACUCCGUGCCAACAGCCGCGGUAAUACGGAGGAUCCGAGCGUUAUCCGGAUUUAUUGGGUUUAAAGGGAGCGUAGAUGGAUGUUUAAGUCAGUUGUGAAAGUUUGCGGCUCAACCGUAAAAUUGCAGUUGAUACUGGAUAUCUUGAGUGCAGUUGAGGCAGGCGGAAUUCGUGGUGUAGCGGUGAAAUGCUUAGAUAUCACGAAGAACUCCGAUUG